GGAAUGCAUCCAAAUUAGAAUGGAGACGACGAAUCCACAUGGCUUUAGACGUAGCUCGUGGCAUGAAUUAUCUUCAUCAUCUUACCCCUCCUAUAGUUCAUCGCGACUUGAAGUCUUCAAAUCUUCUUGUGGACAAGAACUGGACUGUUAAGGUUGGGGACUUUGGUCUGUCACGUCUUAAAUAUGAAACAUAUCUAGCAACAAAGACGGGUAAAGGAACGCCUCAAUGGAUGGCUCCGGAAGUUCUUCGCAAUGAACCUUCAGAUGAGAAGUCUGAUGUAUACAGUUUUGGAGUGAUACUAUGGGAACUCGCCGCGGAGAAAAUCCCUUGGGAUAACCUCAACACAAUGCAGGUGAUUGGAGCUGUAG
rnacentral:misc_RNA from 1 species